CCCAAGCCUUCUGGCGAUCUGUUUAUGCAAUCCUAUGCGGGGGGAUGGAAGAGAGUGUUUCUUUGAUUAGAUUAUGCCAUUGAAAGUUUUCUGGUUUUCCUCAUAGGGCUUGUUGCUCAGUCGGUUUGAGCGCGCGCUUGAUAUGGGUGAGGCCGGAGGUUCAAGUCCUCCCAGGCCCCCCAGUUACACUAUGCAGCAAAGUGCUAUGAUCAAUGAAAAUUGCUCUAAUUGAUAAUGUUAAAAUUUACUCAAGCGUUCCCAAUUUCUUAUUGAAUAAUCCCUUAAAGAAAAUUUAUUGUUAAAUAAAUUCUUCUAAGAGCAUUCAUAGCCUCCAUAGGAACUCAAAGCCUUCCCUAGAAUGUAAAUUUUUCGCGGGAAUUUUUUCACUUUUUUUCAUUAAGGGGAAAACCAGAUUAUAAUAGAUGGAAAUAAAAGGCAAGUGUUGUAAUUCUUCAUCAAUUCAAUUAAUCAAUAUUGUCUUUUAUUUUGUAAAAAACUUAAUGGUUAAAGUAUCAAAUAGCUUUUAUUUUGAUUGUAUGACGUUUUUUAAAAGUAAGACGUGAGGGUUUUAACCUGUUUUAGGGGCCGUAGCUCAG
rnacentral:misc_RNA from 1 species